UGGGGAAUAUUGGACAAUGGGGGGAACCCUGAUCCAGCCAUGCCGCGUGUGUGAAGAAGGCCUUUUGGUUGUAAAGCACUUUAAGCGAGGAGGAGGCUACCUGGAUUAAUACUUUAGGAUAGUGGACGUUACUCGCAGAAUAAGCACCGGCUAACUCUGUGCCAGCAGCCGCGGUAAUACAGAGGGUGCGAGCGUUAAUCGGAUUUACUGGGCGUAAAGCGUGCGUAGGCGGCCAAUUAAGUCAAAUGUGAAAUCCCCGAGCUUAACUUGGGAAUUGCAUUCGAUACUGGUUGGCUAGAGUAUGGGAGAGGAUGGUAGAAUUCCAGGUGUAGCGGUGAAAUGCGUAGAGAUCUGGAGGAAUACCGAUGGCGAAGGCAGCCAUCUGGCCUAAUACUGACGCUGAGGUACGAAAGCAUGGGGAGCAAACA
rnacentral:rRNA from 1 species